rnacentral:misc_RNA from 1 species
GAUGAAGAACGUGGUGAAAUGCGAUAAGUAAUGUGAAUUGCAGAAUUCAGUGAAUCAUCGAAUCUUUGAACGCACCUUGCGCCCUUUGGCUAUUCCAGAGGGCAUGCCUGUUUGAGUAUCAUGAACACCUCAACUCUCAUGGUUCUGCCAUGAUGAGCUUGGACUUUGGAGGUCUUGCUGGCCCCUGUGGUCAGCUCCUCUCAAAUGGAUCAGCUUGCCAGUGUUUGGUGGCAUCACAGGUGUGAUAACUAUCUACGCUUGUGGUUUUCCACCAGGUAACCUUCAGUGAUGGAGGUUCGCUGGAGCUCAUAAACGUCUCUCCUCAGCGAGGACAGCUUCUUGAACGUUUGAUCUCAAAUCAGGUAGGGCUACCCGCUGAACUUAAGCAUAUCAAUAAGCGGAGGA